CCUACGGGAGGCAGCAGUGGGGAAUAUUGCACAAUGGGGGAAACCCUGAUGCAGCGACGUCGCGUGAGUGAAGAAGUAUCUCGGUAUGUAAAGCUUUAUCAGCAGGGAAGUAAAUGACGGUACCUGACUAUGAUGCCAUGUCUAACUACGUGCCAGCAGCCGUGGUAAUAUGUAGGGGGCGAGCGUUAUCCGGAUUUACUGGGUGUAAAGGGAGCGUAGGCGGCUAGGUAAGCCAGAAGUGAAAGUCUGCGGCUCAACUGCGGGACUGCUUUUGAAACUAUCUAGCUAGAUUGCAGGAGAGGUAAGUGGAAUUCGUAGUGUAGCGGUGAAAUGCGUAGAUAUUAGGAGGAACACCGGUGGCGAAGGCAGCUUACUAGACUGUAAAUGACGCUGAGGCUCGAAAGCGUGGGGAGCAAACAGGAUUAGAUACCCUUGUAGUC
rnacentral:rRNA from 1 species